rnacentral:rRNA from 1 species
AUUGAACGCUGGCGGCAGGCUUAACACAUGCAAGUCGAGCGGAGACUUCGGUCUUAGCGGCGAACGGGUGAGUAAUACCUAGGAAUCUGCCUAUUAGUGGGGGAUAACGAAUCGAAAGGUUCGCUAAUACCGCAUACGUCCUACGGGAGAAAGGGGGGGAGUCUUCGGACCUCUCGCUAAUAGAUGAGCCUAGGCCGGAUUAGCUAGUUGGUAGGGUAAAGGCCUACCAAGGCGACGAUCUGUAGCUGGUCUGAGAGGAUGGCCAGCCACACUGGAACUGAGACACGGUCCAGACUCCUACGGGAGGCAGCAGUGGGGAAUAUUGGACAAUGGGGGCAACCCUGAUCCAGCCAUGCCGCGUGUGUGAAGAAGGCC